rnacentral:pre_miRNA from 1 species
GGGACACCCUUAUGUGGCAGGACUUGCUUCAGUGGGGCUUUGGUGCACACUGACUCUGCUCCCUGAGUGUGUCUCC